GGCCUCGUAGCUCAGCUGGUAGAGCAUACGCCGUAGGCGGUGUCCAUGCGUCGGUUCGAAUCCCACCGAGGCUA
rnacentral:tRNA from 1 species